GACAGACAACAACGGUUUGACCUAAAAAUAUCAAAAUUGAAACUACUGUGAAAACAAAGACACCUACAUCUUGGAUGCCCUUGAGGUAAGAAAAAACACACCAAAAAUUAAUUUCAAAGUGAACUAUCCCUUUAAGUUCAUCCACAAAUUGUUUCAUUUCGUUCCCUUUUUUAGGCAAAUCCGAUAUGUAAGAUAAUCUGAUUUUCUCAACUCUGAUUGAAAAAAGCAUCUAAACUGGUUCAUUGCAGGCAACGUCUUUUGUUCUUGUAAUUUUCCAAGGAGGAUGUGUUUGAGUGUGUUCAUUUAAAGGCCCUAUGUGAAUAUCUGCACACAUUGUUUUCUUGUGCUCAAGCCUCACGAUGGUGUACAAAUGUCUUGACGUGUCGUCACUGUCAACCCUGAUCGCUUUUAAGCUUUUAACAGGGUUUCAAACACAAACCUGAGUGUGUGAGAGUGUUUGUUGAGGGAGUGUAGUCAUGAACGGGGUGUGUGGGAGCGAGAGAGUGCUUGUUUUCAUCAUUAAACACAAGGGUCAUUGUCAGGGGUCUUUGUUGGCCUGGGGAUCUGCCCUCUGCUAUAUUUAUUGUUGGUAACGUAGGAGCUGUCAUGUCUAAUUGGGAACUACGGGAUAAAUGUAUUUGGGCAGUUUAAUAGAAUCAAGUCUCUUAAUAAAAGAAUUAAUAACAAGAUCCUUUCCGUCUGUUUUCCCUUCCGUCCUCGCUUGGCACUGUGGACCCCCGUUUAAGGGUGUUUUGAAAGAGCUGAAGGAAAGCUUGAUGGGUAUGUGUCUUUUUUUCAGCACCCACUCGAUCAGCUCUAGUGCUGCAUUAACAGUAAAGUGUAGUGCGUUAUGGGUUGGGGAAAACGAGUGCUUCCACUAGUGUGUUUCAUGCAGACGUCAGCAACUUAUAUCAAAGUAUACUUUUUUUUUAUUUCAGUAGUUUAAAGAGUUGUAAUAGGGAUGCAGAUGAGGUGUAGAAUGAGCCUGUUUUCAAAGACCUUGUUUUCUUUUGGCUCUCCACUUUUAGUGCCUGCCAACUUUGCUGCUAAUUCCCCAAAUCCACUAAUCCUGCCUUAUUUAAACCAUCUUGAUGGCAGCAGGCCACCGAAAAUAAAAAGCUUGGCAAUAUAAACGAUGCUCAGAUUCAUCAAUUGCAACGGUAUUGUCAUUCCAAGCGGGUAAGUUAACCUUUGAAGGAAUUGCUACUGACAGUUUCAGUUGUUUGUUUAAGUCCAGGCUAUUUUAAAAUGACUUCAAACCAUCUGUUAAUCUGAGUCUAUACAUAUUUCUAAACAGGUUUAGAGGAGUCCCAGCCACAAUCGUGUUUCAACAUGAAAACAACUCUCCUCCAGGUUUUCCCAGUAUCCUAAUGACAUCUCAACACUUUCCCCUCUCGGUCCGCGUUCCCGGCGCUCCUCCUCCUCUCCUGUCCUGGCUGGCGGCAGUACCUGGUCAACUGUCAGGCUGGAUCGAGUGUUGACCGCUGUCAGGCUGAGAGAUGCGCUCUGAUGGCCUGUCAGAAGGAGUGAUGAACACAAGGGCAGGCGGAGACAGGUGAAGUUCAACUCGUGUACCGACAGGUCAUUCAUGUCGAGAAGGAUCGUUCUCUUCAGGAUCGACAGCUUGCCUUUACAUUGUGACGUGAUGAUGCAAGACAUAAUGGAAAAUGAGGCAUCACCUCUUCAUUUCGUAUGAAACGCAUCAAAGACGCCUCGCAGAGCCCAGAGAAAUAUCUAGCAUGUUAUCCAGAGCUGUCGCGCGACUCAACCUCAGUGAUGUCAUGAGCUACAGCCAA